GCCUCAGUGGUACAAUGGUAGCACGCGCCCCUAGGAUGGGUGAGAAGCAGGCUCGACUCCCGGCUGAGGUC